rnacentral:rRNA from 1 species
AUUGAACGCUGGCGGCAGGCCUAACACAUGCAAGUCGAGCGGAUGAGUGGAGCUUGCUCCAUGAUUCAGCGGCGGACGGGUGAGUAAUGCCUAGGAAUCUGCCUGGUAGUGGGGGACAACGUUUCGAAAGGAACGCUAAUACCGCAUACGUCCUACGGGAGAAAGUGGGGGAUCUUCGGACCUCACGCUAUCAGAUGAGCCUAGGUCGGAUUAGCUAGUUGGUGAGGUAAAGGCUCACCAAGGCGACGAUCCGUAACUGGCAUGAGAGGAUGAACAGUCCCACUGGAACGGGUGCACGGUCCAGACUCCUACGGGGGGCAGAAGUGGGGAAUAUUGGACAAUGGGCGAAAGCCUGAUCCAGCCAUGCCGCGUGUGUGAAGAAGGUCUUCGUAUUGUAAAGCACUUUAAGUUGGGAGGAAGGGCAGUAAGUUAAUACCUUGCUGUUUUGACGUUACCAACAGAAUAAGCACCGGCUAACUUCGUGCCAGCAGCCGCCGUAACAC